rnacentral:rRNA from 1 species
GGAGGGAUCAUUACACAAAUAUGAAGGCGGGCUGGAACCUCUCGGGGUUACAGCCUUGCUGAAUUAUUCACCCUUGUCUUUUGCGUACUUCUUGUUUCCUUGGUGGGUUCGCCCACCACUAGGACAAACAUAAACCUUUUGUAAUUGCAAUCAGCGUCAGUAACAAAUUAAUAAUUACAACUUUCAACAACGGAUCUCUUGGUUCUGGCAUCGAUGAAGAACGCAGCGAAAUGCGAUAAGUAGUGUGAAUUGCAGAAUUCAGUGAAUCAUCGAAUCUUUGAACGCACAUUGCGCCCUUUGGUAUUCCAAAGGGCAUGCCUGUUCGAGCGUCAUUUGUACCCUCAAGCUUUGCUUGGUGUUGGGCGUCUUGUCUCUAGCUUUGCUGGAGACUCGCCUUAAAGUAAUUGGCAGCCGGCCUACUGGUUUCGGAGCGCAGCACAAGUCGCACUCUCUAUCAGCAAAGGUCUAGCAUCCAUUAAGCCUUUUUUUCAACUUUUGACCUCGGAUCAGGUAGGGAUACCCGCUGAACUUAAGCAUAUCAAUA